GCCGGGUGUGGUGAUGCAUGCCUGUAAUCCUAGCUACUCAGGAGGCUGAGGCAGGAGAAUUUCUUGAACCCGGGAGGUGGAGGUUGCAGUGAGCCGAGAUCGCGCCACUGCACUCUAGCCUGGGUGACAGAGCGAGAUUCUGUCUCCA
rnacentral:SRP_RNA from 1 species